ACAGGAUUUCCUUCCUUUUCAAGGCCGACUAAUAUUCCGCUGCAUCUUGCUGGGCACAGUGGCUCAUGCCUGAAAUCCAAGCACUUCGGGAGCUUGAGAAUCUCAUCCAGUUGCUUAGGCUAGAGUGCGGUGGUGCAAUCAUAGCUCACGGCAACCUUGACCUCCUGGGCUCAAGUGAUUCUCCCACAUCAGCCUCACGAGUAGCUGGAACUACAGGUGCCCGCCACCACACCCAGAGUUAUGUCAUACAUAGGAUAUUUAAAGGAACCUCACUCGUCUCAAGUUUGGCCGAGACACCAAAACAAUAAGGUCACACUUCAAAGUUACGGGCAAGUCCACCAAUACAGGAUUUGCAAAAGAAGAUUAUAGAAAACCAAUUUUCAUGCCGGGCGCGCUGGCUGACGCCUGUAAUCCCAGCACUUUGGGAGGCCGAGGCAGGUGGAUCACGAGGUCAGGAGAUCGAGACCAUCCUGGCCAACAUGGUAAAACUCCAUCUCUACUAAAAAUACAAAAAUGAGCUGGAUGUGGUGGUACGUGCUUGUAAUUCCAGGUACUUGGGAGGCUGAGGUAGGAGAAUCACUUGAACCCAGGAGGCAGAGAUUGCAGUGAGCCAAGAUAGUGUCACUGCACUCCAACCUGGCGACAGAGCAAGACUCCAUCUCAAAAAAAAAAAAAAAAAAGAAAAGAAAACCAGUUUUCAAUCUUCAUUCACUACCCAUCCGCAGCCUGCAAAAGAUGUUGAAGAGAUUGAAAAAAAAAAAGACUCAAGGUUUUAGAAAAAGCUAUUGCUGAACUGAGUCACUGAGUCAUUGCCUCCAACCUCAUCCUAAGGGGUACAUGCCCCUCACCUCACACUAAUAAAACGAAUUUUACUGGGAUCACAUAGUAGAAUAUGUGUUUCUUCGUCUUUGAGAG
rnacentral:lncRNA from 1 species